CUCUGUGACUCCUACGGGAGGCAGCAGUGGGGAAUAUUGCACAAUGGGCGCAAGCCUGAUGCAGCCAUGCCGCGUGUGUGAAGAAGGCCUUCGGGUUGUAAAGCACUUUCAGUAGGGAGGAAGGUAGUGUAGUUAACACCUGCAUUAUUUGACGUUACCUACAGAAGAAGCACCGGCUAACUCCGUGCCAGCAGCCGCGGUAAUACGGAGGGUGCGAGCGUUAAUCGGAAUUACUGGGCGUAAAGCGCAUGCAGGCGGCCUGUUAAGUCAGAUGUGAAAGCCCGGGGCUUAACCUCGGAAUUGCAUUUGAAACUGGCAGGCUAGAGUCUUGUAGAGGGGGUAGAAUUUCAGGUGUAGCGGUGAAAUGCGUAGAGAUCUGAAGGAAUACCAGUGGCGAAGGCGGCCCCCUGGACAAAGACUGACGCUCAGAUGCGAAAGCGUGGGGAGCAAACAGGAUUAGAUACCCUGUAG
rnacentral:rRNA from 1 species